rnacentral:rRNA from 1 species
GACGAACGCUGGCGGCGUGCUUAACACAUGCAAGUCGAACGGAAAGGCCCUGCUUUUGUGGGGUGCUCGAGUGGCGAACGGGUGAGUAACACGUGAGUAACCUGCCCUUGACUUUGGGAUAACUUCAGGAAACUGGGGCUAAUACCGGAUAGGAGCUCCUGCUGCAUGGUGGGGGUUGGAAAGUUUCGGCGGUUGGGGAUGGACUCGCGGCUUAUCAGCUUGUUGGUGGGGUAGUGGCUUACUAAGGCUUUGACGGGUAGCCGGCCUGAGAGGGUGACCGGCCACAUUGGGACUGAGAUACGGCCCAGACUCCUACGGGAGGCAGCAGGGGGGAAUAUUGCACAAUGGGCGGAAGCCUGAUGCAGCAACGCCGCGUGCGGGAUGACGGCCUUCGGGUUGUAAACCGCUUUCGCCUGUGACGAAGCGUGAGUGACGGUAAUGGGUAAAGAAGCACCGGCUAACUACGUGC